UACGUAGGUGGCAAGCGUUGUCCGGAUUUACUGGGCGUAAAGGAUGCGUAGGCGGACAUUUAAGUCAGAUGUGAAAUUCCCGGGCUUAACCUGGGGGCUGCAUUUGAUACGUGUUGUCUUGAGUUCGGAAGAGGGUCGUGGAAUUCCCAGUGUAGAGGUGAAAUUCGUAGAUAUUGGGAAGAACACCGGUGGCGAAGGCGGCGACCUGGUCCGACACUGACGCUGAGGCGCGAAAGCGUGGGGAGCAAACAGG
rnacentral:rRNA from 1 species